GUAGGUGGCAAGCGUUGUCCGGAAUUAUUGGGGCGUAAAGCGCGCGCAGGCGGUUCUUUAUGUCUGAUGUGAAAGCCCACGGGCUCAACCGUGGAGGGUCAUUGGAAACUGGAGAACUUGAGUACAGAAGAGGAAAGCGGAAUUCCACGUGUAGCGGUGAAAUGCGUAGAGAUGUGGAGGAACACCAGUGGCGAAGGCGGCUUUCUGGUCUGUAACUGACGCUGAGGCGCGAAAGCGUGGGGAGCAAACAGGAUUAGAUACCCUGGUAGUCCACGCCGUAAACGAUGAGUGCUAAGUGUUAGGGGGUUUCCGCCCCUUAGUGCUGCAGCUAACGCAUUAAGCACUCCGCCUGGGGAGUACGGCCGCAAAGGCUGA
rnacentral:rRNA from 1 species